GUCUCUCAAACAAAUAUUUCAUUAAAAUUUCGACAAGAACAUGGAUGGUCUUUUUGGUAUUUAUCCGUGCCCUGCACAUCUUUGUGCCUUCAAAAUAGUAUUGGCAUAGAAGAAUUCAGGAGGACAUGCCAUAGCUCUAUACACACAAUCCGAAGAUUGCACAGGCGAAUCCAUUUAUUAUAAUAUUUGCCCAUCAUCGUUGUGUCCGAUCAAUAGAACAUCUCUUAAACAUUACAUUUCUUCAAAAUGUUCAAAUAAU